GAUGAACGCUGGCGGCGUGCCUAAUACAUGCAAGUCGAGCGAACAGACGAGGAGCUUGCUCCUCUGACGUUAGCGGCGGACGGGUGAGUAACACGUGGAUAACCUACCUAUAAGACUGGGAUAACUUCGGGAAACCGGAGCUAAUACCGGAUAAUAUAUUGAACCGCAUGGUUCAAUAGUGAAAGACGGUUUUGCUGUCACUUAUAGAUGGAUCCGCGCCGCAUUAGCUAGUUGGUAAGGUAACGGCUUACCAAGGCAACGAUGCGUAGCCGACCUGAGAGGGUGAUCGGCCACACUGGAACUGAGGCACGGUCCAGACUCCUUCGGGAGGCAGCAGUAGGGAAUCUUCCGCAAUGGGCGAAAGCCUGACGGAGCAACGCCGCGUGAGUGAUGAAGGUCUUCGGAUCGUAAAACUCUGUUAUUAGGGAAGAACAAAUGUGUAAGUAACUAUGCACGUCUUGACGGUACCUAAUCAGAAAGCCACGGCUAACUACGUG
rnacentral:rRNA from 1 species